UCGUGCAAAUUUUCUAUUUUUGUGGCAAUGAUAGGAAUCAUGCUAGGCAUCCUGUUAAAACUAUCUGUGUCUUCUUCACCUACUACAGCAUAGUUGUCUUCAUCAGUUCAGGAAACAACUCUUCUUUGUAUCACGAGCUAGCUACGUUUUACCUGAGUCUUCCCUUUCCCAUCUUCUUCUCUAGGGGCAGCCCUUACUGUAUAUUUUUCAUCAAAAUUUCUUUUCAUUAUACUCUUUUUUACUCCCAUGAAUUGGAAAUAUAUUUAAUCUACAAUUUCAUGUGUUAGACCGUUAAUUCACGAAAUUAGUUGUUAUAAUUUAUUUCUGAAACCGUUAAGACUUGAGCAGAAUUUUGAGGGUUGCUAGAUCUGUUGCUGCUGUUGACUGCUUUCUGCUGCUGUAGUUCAACAGGCUGACUGCAGUCUCCGGUCCUUAAUUUGCUGCUUAGGACAAGGAUACUGUGUUGAGGCGACUGAUUCCGGGAAGUCAGGGAGGGGAUUCUGCAGUUACAAUUUGAUGUGUGGUUUUCUGCUGCUAGUGCUUUGUGGCAGUGUGAUUGGACUGGUUUUUUUGGCUUGAGUUUGUUCUGUCAGCAGCCGGUGGAUGGGUUGUGGUUCUGCAGCUGCUGUUUUAUAGUCAACUGACCUAAGUUCACUUCCUGGGGUUUGAUUUGGGGCAGUGUUGUAGCUGGUGGAUGAAAUUGUAGCUUAGGUUUAUUUUCUCUUAAGUUUCGUAUCUGUGAAAAUUCCUAACUUGCAUGGAACGAAGCAAUCAGUACACUUAGAAUCUUGGAAAAGACAAAUGGUCACGCCUUCUCCUCUCCACCCUUUUUGUUGACAGAGAACUACAUCUAUGGCAUAUUAGUUGUUUUUAGAAAGGGCAAUAUGAUCAUGUCCUUUAUAUUUCAACAUAUCUGGCAGGUCAAAGCUAUUGCAGAAGAAAUGGGGAUUGGAUUGCUACGUGUGAGAGCAAUCAAAGGGAACACCAACAUAGCACGAGCUGAGAUGGGGUCGAGUUCUUGGGACAGUGACAAGAUCCUUCACUAGGUGCAAUUGGCUAUGCAGAUAGGCUGGUAUUCGCACUAGAUAAAUGCUGAAAGGGAUUUGAGAAUACCGAUUCUAGCCUUUCAGUUUUAGCAGGGGAAUUGAAGAAGUUAAGGUUUUGGUAGCUGUACAAAUUCGUCUACUGUUACAUUUUCGUAUUGCUAUAGAAAAUUUCAUAGUGUUGUUGGCCAAAUGGUCUAUGAUAUUCUUGAUUCUAUUUGUUAUAUAUAGCUAAGACGACUUCCCUUUAAAAUCCAAAAUCAAAGGCUUACAACUCUUAAUGCUUGAGCAUUCUGUUUCAGGUGAUGCUAAUCUGUGGGACGACAGUGAUGGGAUAUAAGCAGAUGGUCAACUAUGGCUUGAAGAUCACCAUAUAAUCGGAAGAGUGAUUGGGUUUUCAAAACUCCAAGGGAGGGGCCCUUUACCAAAAAGGAGUUGGAUGAAGUUCGAGACAAGUGGGCUACUUACUUCAACGAUUGUGAACUACCCUCGGUGUAAUAAAUAGAGAAGGCUUGUAGUUAUUCGUGACUCUUACAUUAUUUUGUUAUUUAUCGAUUUAAUUAAUUACAUUUGAAUUAAUUCGGUAAUAUUAUUGGAAAUUUGAAAUUUAUAUCAUUUUUGAGAAUGUCAAGCUGAUGUUUGAUGAAACAGAAAUUAUAUUGCAAAAUCAGAAAUUAUAUUGCAGAA